rnacentral:snRNA from 1 species
GUGCUCGAUUGGGUAACAUAUACUAAAAUUGUGACAAUACAGAUAAUAUGAGCAUGGAAAUGACACACAAUUCUUGAGGCGUUCUUAAUUUUU